rnacentral:rRNA from 1 species
CCUACGGGUGGCAGCAGUCGAGAAUCAUUCACAAUGGGGGAAACCCUGAUGGUGCGACGCCGCGUGGGGGAAUGAAGGUCUUCGGAUUGUAAACCCCUGUCAUGUGGGAGCAAAUUAAAAAGAUAGUACCACAAGAGGAAGAGACGGCUAACUCUGUGCCAGCAGCCGCGGUAAUACAGAGGGCUCAAGCGUUGUUCGGAAUCACGGGGCGGAAAGCGUGCGGAGGCUGUUUCGUAAGUCGUGUGUGAAAGGCGCGGGCUCAACCCGCGGACGGCACAUGAUACUGCGAGACUAGAGUACUGGAGGCGGCACCUGCAUUCUCGGUGUAGCAGUGAAAUGCGUAGAUAUCGAGAGGAACACUCGUGGCGAAGGCGGGUUCCUGGACAUUACCUGACGCUGCGGCACGACGGCCAGGGGAGCGAACGGGAUUAGAUACCCCAGUAGUC